AAGACUUCCAUCAGCCCACAAACCGGCGGCCGUCGUUUCGAUCUGCCCAGCACACUUCAUCUCUGCCCUCUUCCUUGCUGGCCGGAACUCGCCAGCACCACCACCACACUCUGUGAUUUCUGGAAAGAUGACAAAUAACAAGAUAAAGUAUACCAAGCCCAGGAAGAUGGCCCAACAAGUGCUUGACUAUGAGAGGAAAAAGCGUGAAAAAAUGGAAUUGAACCACAUGAGAAUGGUUGAAUUAGGGUAUCAGAAGAUGGCAAAUGCUUUGUUUGGUUCAAAUAAGAAUUGAAGAGAAAGAUCAAAAAUAUUGAGGAGGCCAAAAAGAUGAGGGCCCGGGGUAAUUUGUCCGAUGAGGAUUAUCAGCAACCUGAGGAUGCACCUGAGGAUGAGGACAAUGAUGAUGACACUUUCAGUUAUACCGAUGAUGAAGAAUUGGUAAGUCAUAUUAAUUUUAUCAGAAUUGUAUUAUGAACUCAAUGAUUACAAAUAUGUCGUUAGUUAUAUUAGUUUUGUAUAACAUGGUGUCCGAUUGAUUCUAUGAACGCACGAAAAAAGAACGCUAUUGCAUCCACUCUUCAAACUGAUCAGCUGCCUCCUAUCAAGUCUACUAUGGUUCUUUCCCUUGCCCAAGGUUCAAGGCCUGCCCCAGUUGCAGUCGCUCCUACUCCUACUCCUACUCCUACCCAGGAGUUACCGUUUGAACAAGAUGGUUUUUCUACUACACCAAGUUCUUUACCACAGUAGAUGGUUAGAGCUUCUACCUCGAGGCGUGUCCGGGGUGCUAACUGUGGAAUUAACACAGAACGCUUAAUUGCUAGUGGUAGUGGCAAGAAACUUAAUGUAGAGAUUCCUUUGGAGGUAGGAACACCCAUAGGUGAAAAUGCCACAAGGUUCGCCACUUGGCUUGGUAUACAAAUUAGGAUGGCGGCACCAUUGAAGAAUGUGGAGAAGUGGGAUGAUAUUCCCUUUCAUGUUAAAGCGCCCAUCUUACAGGCUACAUGAGAUAAAUUUAACAUAGUGGGAUAUGAUGAGAAAGAGCAUGUGAGGCAUGGCAUCGACCGCAAGUGCAAAAAAUUGUAUAAAACCUGGCGUCACAUUAUGAAGGACCACUAUGAAGCAUUAGUGGAAGCUGGUAAGGAUCCAUAUGUCAAUCCAUAUAAAGGAGUUAGUAGUGAAGAUUGGGCAUGGAUGAUUGGUAACAUCUGGACUAAUAAAGAUAAAGAGGUAUUGGUACUAAAAAGGAAGAAAGCUCGAUCAAAGGUACCUUUCAACCAUACUAUGGGGUCACAAUCUUUCGCAUCUGCUAUGGCAGCUCAAACACAUAAGCGUGGGGGUUAACGUCCCCACAUUGCAGAUUUUUACAAUUCAACCCAUUAUAAUCAAAAGAAGAAGAAAUGGGUAGCUUCGAUAUGGGAGCAACUACAUCUACUACUUGAGGCAUGCCAGAAAGAGGAUGAGGCACGUUGCCAAGAGGUUGAUGCGCUUGGGUUACCAAUCACCAUGCCACAAGAGGAGAUGCCGAUAGAAGUUUUUGGUAAGAAGUUUUAUGUGAAGGAAUAUGGUGUUAGUUUGAAGUCAUCGUCAUCGAAGCGGUCUAGUGGUCAAUCAUAUGAAGAGGUGGGAGUUCUGAAGAAUGAAGUUGAGACACUCAAGGAUGUGUGCAAACAACAAAACGAUCAGGUUGAGACUUUGAAGGACUUGUGCAAACGCAAAAGGAGACAAUCCAAACGCAACAGGAGAAAAUAAAUGCAUGCAUAUGAUGAAAAGUUUGUGCGCUUCGAGGCUGUUAUGUCUGCUUAUAUGCAUGGAAAUCCUAUUGGGGCGGGCUCUAAUUGUCAGGCUUGAAUUGAGGCCGUGACAGCUUACUUGCAAGCUGAAAUGCAUAUAAAUUCUAGCAACCAUUGUGAGUAUAUCAAUGCCUUAAUUACCUUAUUCACGAGCUACUUGCUUAAAUCCAACUAGCAAAUGUAGAAGUCACCAAAGCGUGUGUACC